rnacentral:rRNA from 1 species
UUGGAGGGCAAGUCUGGUGCCAACAGCCGCGGUAAUUCCAGCUCCAAUAGCGUAUAUUAAAGUUGUUGCAGUUAAAAAGCUCGUAGUUGAAUUUCGGGAUUAGUACGUUGGUCGUGCCUUAGGUACGUACUGGUGUUACUGGUUCCUACCUUCUGACGAACCAUCAUGUCAUUAAUUUGGUGUGGUGGGGAAUCAGGACUGUUACUUUGAAAAAAUUAGAGUGUUUAAAGCAGGCUCGCGCUUGAAUACAUUAGCAUGGAAUAAUGAAAUAGGACGUUGAUCCUAUUUUGUUGGUUUCUAGGAUUGACGUAAUGAUUAAUAGGGAUAGUUGGGGGCAUUAGUAUUCAAUUGUCAGAGGUGAAAUUCUCGGAUUUAUUGAAGACUAACUACUGCGAAAGCAUUUGCCAAGGAUGUUUUCAUUAAUCAAGAACGAAAGUUAGGGGAUCGAAGACGAUCAGAUACCGUCGUAGUCUUAACCAUAAACUAUGCCGACUAGGGAUCGGAUGAUGUUAUUCUUAAUGACUCAUUCGGCACCUUACGGGAAAC